UUCUUUAAUUCUUCUAGGUCUUUGUUAAACAUUUCAUGCAUUUUCUUGAUCUUUGCCUCCAUUCUUUUUCUGAGGUCCUGGAUCAUCUAAACGAUCAGUAUUCUGAAUUCUUUUUCUGGAAUGUUGCCAAUCUCCACUUCAUUUGUUUUUCUGGGGUUUUAUCUUGUUCCUUCAUCUGGUACAUAGCCCUCUGCCUUUUGAUUUGUCUAUCUUUCUGUGAAUGUGGUCUUCCUUCCACAGGCUACAGGAUUGUAGUUCUUCUUGCUUCUGCUUUCUGCCCUCUGGUGGAUGAGGCUAUCUCAGAGGCUUAUGCAAGUUUCCUGAUCGGAGGGACUGGUGGUGCCCAUAUAUUUCUGCAUAAAAUUUGGUUCGUUUGUUUGAACAAACAUCUGUUUAGCUUUUCUCAUAUGCAGUACUUUGCUUACCAGCUAAAUGUAUUAUAAUUGUUACAACAACCUGGUAGGUGUGGUGCACAAUUUUCAAAUGAGGAACCACCUUGCCUGAGGACCUGGGACGUGAGGUGGCCAACCUGGGAUACGGAGCCCGUGCCAUCAUCACCACCAUUUUCAGUUUGUCCACAAAUUGCACACGUCUUUCUGUGAUCUGGCCCCUGCCUGCUGCUUUAGCAUCAGCUGCCUCUGCCAGCCCUCUACCUCCACUUCCUUUAGCCCUGCUGCCCUUCUAAACUCUCGGGUCUCCUCUGCCAGAAAGCCGUUCCUGGCUGAGGUGCCAAACACUGAGCUCCCAGAGCACCUUGUUCUUACCUUGGGGAUGGCAUUUGUCAAUCUGCUAUCUACUGAUUUGUUGCCCCACCAGCCUGUGGGUUUCCUUAAGGGCUGGGACCCCGUGUUAUGUCCCUCUGUUUCCAUGCCUAAUACUGAGCCUGGGGAAUAGAGACUUUGGCCACAGCCUGCCUCUUUGCUCUCAUUUGCCUUAUCUGUUCGUCUCCUGUGCUCUCUGUGCUUCAGUCAUACCAGCCUUCUUGUUAUUCUUUCCUGUGCGUCCCAAACCCAUUCCUGCCCGAUGGCCAUGGUGCUUUCUGUGCUCUUGGCGUGGAAUGCUGUCCCGUAACUCUUCACGUGGCUUCUUCUCCUCCCAGCCCUCUGAAAUAGCACUCCCAUCGCUCUGUCCCUUUACCACUAUUUGCCAUUGUGCUGUCGACCAGAGUGUGUUUAUAAGUCCUUACUCUCUCACCACAAGAGCAGGACCUUGGGAGUGGCUCCUGUUACUGUUUUGGUGUUUGUUGUUUUUGCUUGUUUGGCUUUAUUUUUUGCUUUGCUGUGCUGCUCCCACUGCCCUGAAUAGUACUUAGUAAUGAUUUGUUGGAUGAAUACAUGGCACAUCCUCAGUAAGGUUUUGAAGGGAAGGAAGAUUGAAUUCACUGGUCUUCCGCAGGGUUUUUCUAAGUCUUCCAGGGAGUUUCAAGUAUAAUGACCGAGGCAGCCUACCUUGGAGAUUUAAAACAACAGUUAUCACCUCUCCUCACCAACCCUUUGUCUCUUCCUGUCCCAGGACAUCAGCAUUGCUUACGGGGAACACCUGCUGCAGGAGCACCUCUGUGAGCCAGCAGGGCUCGUGUUUGCCCGCUGUGGGGCCCACGAGAAAGCUCUCAGCGCCUUUCUGGCUUGUGGCAGUUGGCAGCAAGCUCUCUGUGUGGCAGCCCAGCUUCACUUGACCAAAGACCAGCUGGCUGGCCUGGGCAGAACUCUGGCAGGAAAGCUAGCUGAGCAGAGGAAGCACAGCGACGCAGCCACAGUUUUGGAACAGUACGCCCAGAUCCUGGAAAGAAAAUAUGUUGGGUGAUUGAGCUGAAAAUAUGAAGAUAUAUCCCACCUAAGAUGGUUAAUUAAAUGGGUAAGAUGCCUGCUUUUGAUUUCUAACAUUUUUUUGACUCUUUCUUAGAAUUUCCAACUCUCUGCUUACAUGACCCAUCUGUUCUUGCACGUUGUCUGUUUUUUUCCAUUAGAGGUGUUAUCAUAUUUAUUGUACUGAUUUUAAGUUCCCAGCCUCACAAUCUCAACAUUCCCGCCGUAUCAGGGUCGUGUUCUGAUGCUUGCUCUGACUCUUCAAACUGUUUAAUCCCUUUUGUAUGCCUUGUAAUUUUCUGUCAAAAGCCUAAUAAUGUGUGUGAUAUACUGGGUAAAAGCAAAUUUGAUAAAUAGGUCUUUAAUGAUAUGGUAAUGAGGCUGGGGGUUGGGUAGGAGAAUUGUUCUCUAGUCCAGUGAUUAGCUGGCAGUCUUUAUUAUUUAUUUAUUCAUUCAUUCAUUUAUUUUUAUUUUUAUUUUUAUUUUUUUUGUGGUACACGGGCCUCUCACCGCUGUGGCCUCUCCCGUUGCAGAGCACAGGCUCCAGACACGCAGGCUCGGCGCCCAUGGCUCACGGGCCCAGCCGCUCCGUGGCAUGCGGGGUCCUCCCGGCCCGGGGCACGAACCUGCGUCCCCUGCAUCAGCAAACGGACUCUCAACCACUGCGCCACCAGGGAAGCCGAGCUGGCAGUCUUUAAGCGAGCAUGUACCUCAACUGUGAACUUCACCAGUGCUUCUCAGUUUUUUUUUCACUCCUUAUGUAGGACAGGAAGGUUAGAGGGGGCUGGAGUUGGGUAUUUCCCUGCCUCCACAUUGGUUAGGCCCUGGUAAAACCCACUUCGAUUAGGCUCUGCCAAAAUCGUUUGAGUGCAGGUCUUGUUAAGAAGAUCAGUAUUUUCAAAUGUCUGCUUUUCCCUUCCCCCUGCUAGAAGUACGUACUCACUGUGAGAAGUUCUGGUAGAGCUCUUGGAGGUAAAAACUCACAAUAGUGUAGGAAUCUCCCUAAGUAUGGACCCCUAUAGAGUUUUUAACUCUUGGCCUUGUCUACAGUGAGUGAUAAUAGCUGGAGAAAUUCAGUCUUUCACCCUAAGUGUGAUGUUUGCUAGCUUUUUGGGGAGUUUAAUAGGUGUGAGAAACUGGGAGGGCUGUUGUUGGAGUUGGCAGACUAUAGCCUGUGGGCCAAAUCUCGUUGGCCACCUGUUUUGUAAAUAAAGUUUUAUUGGAACAUAACCCCACCAUUUGUUUACCCAUUGUCUGUGGCUGCUUUUGCACUUAAAACCACAGAGUUGAAGAGCUGUGACAGAGACAGCCUGGAUGAAAGUCCCAGAAAGCCUAAAAUAUUAACUCUGUAGCCUUUUACAGAAAAAAUCUGCCAAUCCUAGCCCACUUGUGUUGAGGAAAUUCCCUUUUAUUUCUGGUUCUGAGAGUUUUUUAUCAUGAACGGGUAUUGAAGUUUGCUGAUUGCCUCUUAAACUGAGAUGUUUUCUGUUUUGGUUUUAGACCAGUGAUGGGGUGAAUUGUAUUGACGUUUUUUUUUUUAAUUGAAGGAUAAUAGUUGAUUUACAAUGUUGCGUUAAUUUCUGCUAUACAGCAAAGUGAUUCGGCUGUACAUAUAUAUACAUUCGUUUUUAUAUAUUAUUUUCCAUUAUGGUUUAUCAUAGGAUAUUGAAUAUAUACUUCUGUGUGCUAUACAGUAGGACCUUGUUGUUCAUCCAUUCCAUAUAUGACAGCUUACAUCUGCUCACCCCUACCUCCCACUCCAUCCCUCCCCCACCCUCUUCCCCCUUGGAAACAAGUCUGUUCUCUAUGAGUGUGAGUCUAUUUCUGUUUCAUACAUAGGUUCAUUUGUGUCAUAUUUUAGACUCCACAUAUAAGUGACAUCAUGUGGUAUUUGGCUUUCUCUUUCUGACUUUCUUCACUUAGUAUGAUCUCUUGUUGCAAAUACCAUUGUUCUUUUAUAUGGCUGAGUAGCAUUCCAAUGUCUAUAUGUACCACAACUUCUUUAAGACUGUUUCCAUGUCCUGGCUAUUGUGAAUAGUGCUGCUAUGAACAUAGGGGUACGUGUAUCUUUUUUAUUACAGUUUUGUCUGGAUAUAUGCCCAGGAGUGGGAUUGCUGGCUCAUAUGGUAAUUCUAUUUUUAGUUUUGUGAGGAACCUCCAUACUGUUUUCCAUAGCAAUGGCACCAACUUACAUUCCCACCAGUGUGUAGGAGGGUUCCCUUUCCUCCACAUCCUCUCCAAUAUUUGUUAUUGUUAUUUUACAGAGUUUUAAUGAUGGCCAUUCUGACCUGUGUGAGGUGGUACCUCAUUGUAGUUUUCAUUUGUAUCUCUCUAAUAAUUGGCGCUGUUGAGCAUCUUUCCAUGUGCCUCCUGGCCAUCUGUAUGUGUUAUUUGGAGAAAUGUGUAUUUAUUUUGGUCUUAUGCCCAUUUUUCAAUUUGGUUGUUUGUUUGUUGUUGAGUUGUAUGAACUGUUUGUAUAUUUUGGAAUUUUCGCCCUUGUCCAUAGCAUUGUUUAGAAAUAUUUUCUGCCAUUCUGUAGGUUGUCUUUUCGUUUUGUUUAUGGUUUCCUUUGCUGUGCAAAAGCUUGUAAGUUUGACAAGGUCCCAUUUAUUUUUAUUUCCAUUGCCUUGGAAGACUGACCUAAGAAAACAUUGGUAUGAUUUAUAUCAGAGAAUGUUUUGCCUAUGAUCUCUUCUAGAGGUACAAUAGAACAUAUAAUGAUAUAAUGAUACAAUAGAACAGUUAGAGUCAAAUGAUAAUUCCAGGACAUUACAUCCAAAAAACCAGAAUUCACAUUCUUUCCAGGUGCACAUGGAGUAUCCUCUAGGACUAACCACAUACCAGGGCACAAAACAAACCUCAACAAAUUUAAGAGUGUAGGAAUUAUUUCUAGCAUCUUCUCAGACCACAAUGCCAUGAAACUUGAAAUCAACCACAGAAAAAAAGAAAUGUGAAAAACGAUUACAUGGAGACUAAACACCAUGCUACUAAAAAAACAAUGGGUCAAUGAGGAAAUGAAAAACUACCUUGUGGCAAAUGACAGUGAAAAUACAACCAUACAAAAUCUAUGGGAUGCAGCAAAACCAGUUCUAGGGGGAAGUUUAUCACAAUACAGGCCUUCCUUAUGAAACAAGAAAAAUCUCAACCUAACCAACCACUUAAAAGAAUUACAAACAAAACAAAGUCAGAAGAAAGGAAAGAAUAAAGAUCAGAAAGGAAGUAAAUAAAAGAGAUAAAAAAAAAAAGAAAAAACCAAUAAAAGCAAGAGCUGGUUGUUUGAAAGGGUAGACAAAAUUGAGAAAACUUUCCAGGCACAAAAAGACAAGAGAACCUAAAUAAACAAAAUAAGAAAUGAAAAAGAAGAAAUAUCAACCAGUAACACAAAUACAAAAAACUAUAAGGGAAUACUAUAAACAAUUAUAUACCAACAGAUUUGAAAACCUAGACAUAAUAGACAAGUUUCUAGAAACAUAGAGCCCACCAAAAUUGAAUCAAGAAGAAAUAGACAAUUUGAAAAAACUCCCUACAAAGUCCAGGACUGGAUGGCUUCACAGGUGAACUGUACCAAACAUACAAAGAAUAACUUAUACCAAUCCUUCUCAAACUCUUUGAAAACACUGAAGAGGAGGGAACACGACCAAAGACAUUCUAUGAAGCCACCAUCACCCUGAUACCAAAACUGGACACAGGUAUCACCUAAAAAGAAAAUUACAAGCCCAUAUCUUUGAUGAAUACAAAUGCAGAAAUUCUCAACAAAAUAUUAGUAAAUUGAAUCCAACAACAAACACAUAAAAAAGAUCAUACAUGGGACUUCCCUGGUGGCGCAGUGGUUAAGAAUCCACCUGCUAGGGGCUUCCCUGGUGGCGCAGUGGUUGGGAGUCCGCCUGCCGAUGCAGGGGACGUGGGUUCAUGCCCCGGUCCGGGAGGAUCCCGCAUGCCGCGGAGCGACUGGGCCCAUGAGCCAUGGCCGCUGGGCCUGCGCUCCGCAAUGGGAGAGGCCACAGCAGUGAGAGGCCCGUGUACCGCAAAAAAAAAAAAGAAUCCACCUGCUAAUGCAGGGGACAUGGGUUCAAUCCCUGGUCCAGGAAGAUCCCACAUGCCAUGGAGCAACUAUGCCAUGGAGCAACUAAGCCUGUGCACCACAACUACUGAAGCCUGCGUGUCUAUAGAGCCCGUGCUCCACAACAAAAGAAGCCACUGCAGUGAGAAGCCCAUGCACUACAAUAAGGAGUAGCCCAUGAGUAUCAACGAAGACCCAACACAGCCAUAAAUAAAUAAAUUUAUUUAAAAAAAUCAUACACCAAGACCAAGUGGGAUUCAUCCCAACUUCCCAAGGAUGGUUCAACAUAUGCAAAUCAAUCAAUGUGAUACACCACAUCAAAAGACAAAACAAAAACUACAUGAUCAUCUUAACAGAUGCAGAAAAAGCUUUUGACAAAAUUCAGUGUCCAUUCAUGAUAAAAACUCUUUCCAAAGUGGGUAUAGAGGCAACAUAUCUCAACAUAAUAAAACCUAUUUAUGACAAACCCACAGCCAAUACAAUACUCAAUGGUGAAAAGCUGAAAGCCCUCCUCCUAAAAUCUGGAACAAGACAAGGAUGCUCACUUUCACCACUUCUACUGAACACAGAAAUGGAAGUCCUAACCACAGCAGUCAGAUAAGAAAAA